rnacentral:rRNA from 1 species
GACGAACGCUGGCGGCGUGCCUAAUACAUGCAAGUCGAACGAGAGCGCCCGGUGCUUGCACUGGUCAAUCUAGUGGCGAACGGGUGAGUAACACGUGGGUAACCUGCCCAUCAGAGGGGGAUAACAUUCGGAAACGGAUGCUAAAACCGCAUAGGUCUUCGAACCGCAUGGUUUGAAGAGGAAAAGAGGCGCAAGCUUCUGCUGAUGGAUGGACCCGCGGUGCACUAGCUAGUUGGUGAGGUAACGGCUCACCAAGGCCGUGAUGCAUAGCCGACCUGAGAGGGUGAUCGGCCACAUUGGGACUGAGACACGGCCCAAACUCCUACGGGAGGCAGCAGUAGGGAAUCUUCCGCAAUGGACGCAAGUCUGACGGAGCAACGCCGCGUGAGUGAAGAAGGUUUUCGGAUCGUAAAACUCUGUUGUUAGAGAAGAAUAAGUGCUAGAGUAACUGUUAGCGCCUUGACGGUAGCUAACCAGAAAGCCACGGCUAACUACGUG